UACAGAGGUCCCAAGCGUUGUUCGGAUUCACUGGGCGUAAAGGGUGCGUAGGCGGUCUGGUAAGUCUGAUGUGAAAUCUCACAGCUUAACUGUGAAACUGCAUUGGAUACUAUCCGGCUAGAGGAAUGGAGGGGAGACUGGAAUACUUGGUGUAGCAGUGAAAUGCGUAGAUAUCAAGUGGAACACCGGUGGCGAAGGCGAGUCUCUGGACAUUUCCUGACGCUGAGGCACGAAAGCCAGGGGAGCAAACGGG
rnacentral:rRNA from 1 species